UCAGCCGCGGAGUGAGCGAGGGAGACGGAAGGAGCCGAACCCGGCGCCAUCCGCCGCCAUCCUCCCCCGCCCCACCGCCAUCCCGUCCCGGGGAGCCCCUAGGCCCGGGUCCCGGAUCCCCGCGCACCCGGCCAGUUCCGAUGCCUCAACCGCUCAGCCGCCGGAAUCGCAGCCACUGCCGGCUUCACAGACGCCUGCCUCCAACCAGCUGAAACGACCCCCAGCAGCCCCCGAGAACACUCCUUUGGUUCCAAGCGGGGUAAAGUCCUGGGCACAAGCCAGCGUCACCCAUGGAGCACAUGGAGAUGGUGGAAGGGCAUCAAGCCUACUGUCGCGAUUCUCUCGAGAGGAAUUUCCGACCCUGCAGGCGGCUGGCGACCAGGACAAGGCUGCCAAGGAAAGGGAGUCUGCCGAACAGUCGUCUGGGCCCGGACCAAGCCUCCGCCCCCAAAAUUCUGCAACUUGGAGGGACGGAGGUGGGCGUGGCCCUGAUGAGCUGGAGGGCCCGGACUCCAAACUUCAUCAUGGUCAUGAUCCCCGGGGUGGGCUACAGCCUUCAGGCCCACCCCAGUUCCCUCCCUACCGCGGAAUGAUGCCGCCUUUCAUGUAUCCCCCAUAUCUCCCGUUCCCUCCGCCCUAUGGACCCCAGGGGCCUUACCGAUACCCCACUCCUGAUGGGCCCAGCCGUUUUCCCCGUGUGGCGGGCCCCCGAGGCUCAGGGCCACCAAUGCGCUUAGUAGAGCCUGUGGGUCGUCCCUCUAUUCUCAAAGAGGAUAAUCUCAAAGAGUUUGAUCAGUUGGAUCAGGAGAAUGAUGAUGGUUGGGCAGGGGCCCAUGAAGAGGUUGACUACACUGAAAAGCUCAAGUUCAGCGAUGAGGAAGAUGGGCGAGACUCUGAUGAGGAGGGAGCUGAGGGCCA
rnacentral:sRNA from 1 species